GACGAACGCUGGCGGCGUGCUUAACACAUGCAAGUCGAACGGAAAGGCCCUGCUUGCAGGGUGCUCGAGUGGCGAACGGGUGAGUAACACGUGGGUGAUCUGCCCCUUACUUUGGGAUAAGCCUGGGAAACUGGGUCUAAUACUGGAUAGGACCAUGCUGUAGGUGGUGUGGUGGAAAGAUUUUUUCGGUAAGGGAUGAGCUCGCGGCCUAUCAGCUUGUUGGUGGGGUAAUGGCCUACCAAGGCGUCGACGGGUAGCCGGCCUGAGAGGGUGGACGGCCACAUUGGGACUGAGAUACGGCCCAGACUCCUACGGGAGGCAGCAGUGGGGAAUAUUGCACAAUGGGCGCAAGCCUGAUGCAGCGACGCCGCGUGGGGGAUGACGGCCUCCGGGUUGUAAACUCCUUUCAGCCAUGACGAAGCCUCUUUUGGGGUGACGGUAGUGGUAGAAGAAGCACCGGCUAACUACGUGCCAGCAGCCGCGGUAAUACGUAGGGUGCGAGCGUUGUCCGGAAUUACUGGGCGUAAAGAGCUCGUAGGUGGUCUGUCGCGUCAUUUGUGAAAGCCCGGGGCUUAACUCCGGGUUGGCAGGUGAUACGGGCAUGACUGGAGUACUGUAGGGGAGACUGGAAUUCCUGGUGUAGCGGUGAAAUGCGCAGAUAUCAGGAGGAACACCGGUGGCGAAGGCGGGUCUCUGGGCAGUAACUGACGCUGAGGAGCGAAAGCAUGGGUAGCGAACAGG
rnacentral:rRNA from 1 species